GUGUGUGUAGCUUUAAGGACUGGUGACAGUGAGGAUGUCAUGUGUACAGUAAGUGGUGGGAGAGCAACCUUGAUGGGGCUCCCAUCACCCCAAGGGCCACAAGGGUUGAUUCAUUCGAUCUGGCUGGGUGAUGGGUCCCCUCCUUUACUUUAUGUUCCAUGAAGUUGCACACUUGCUCAAGGAGAAACACCAGAGAGAGAAAGGCCGUCACAUGGGCAAGGGAAUACAAACCCUGUGCCUCCCCAGAAUCCCCAGACAAGCUCAGAUCCAUCUGUGGUUUAGACUAGUUAGGGUAAGCAUAUUUACAAAGCCUCUUACUAUUCUUGGAGAUCUGAUGGAUAAGACAGUGCUUUUAA
rnacentral:lncRNA from 1 species